rnacentral:rRNA from 1 species
UACGGGGGGAGCAAGCGUUGUUCGGAAUUACUGGGCGUAAAGGGCGCGUAGGCGGCACUGUUAGUCAGGCAUGAAAGUCCUGGGCUCAACCUGGGAACUGCGCUUGAUACGGCAGAGCUAGAGGAUGGAAGAGGGUCGCGGAAUUCCCAGUGUAGAGGUGAAAUUCGUAGAUAUUAGGAAGAACACCGGUGGCGAAGGCGGCCCACUGGUCCGGUACUGACGCUGAGGUGCGAAAGCGUGGGGAGCAAACAGG